rnacentral:tRNA from 1 species
GGCGAGGUAGCUCAGCUGGUUAGAGCGCGGCACUCAUAAUGCCGAGGUCAAGAGUUCAAGUCUCUUUCUCGCUA